rnacentral:rRNA from 1 species
UACGAAGGGGGCUAGCGUUGCUCGGAAUCACUGGGCGUAAAGCGCACGUAGGCGGAUCUUUAAGUCAGGGGUGAAAUCCUGGAGCUCAACUCCAGAACUGCCUUUGAUACUGGGGAUCUCGAGUCCGGAAGAGGUGAGUGGAACUCCGAGUGUAGAGGUGAAAUUCGUAGAUAUUCGGAAGAACACCAGUGGCGAAGGCGGCUCACUGGUCCGGUACUGACGCUGAGACGCGAAAGCGUGGGGAGCAACAGGAUUAAGAAACCCUU